rnacentral:lncRNA from 1 species
ACAAAUCAUCAGAUUCACAUCCCAAAUGUAUGGCUACGAUUAUUGAGUAAACCUUGCGAAUAAAAGACCACCGGAGUUCCGGCGACUCCGUCAUCGGACCACAACUUCAUGUCGCGAUGUGAACCCACCGGAUCUCCAAAGAAUCGUUAUCUCCGGCGACGGUUAAGCAGCCGGAGAUCGGCGUCGUCGCUGCCGGUGAAUGUGCCGAACUGA